GUGGGGAAUCUUAGACAAUGGGGGAAACCCUGAUCUAGCCAUGCCGCGUGAGCGAUGAAGGCCUUAGGGUUGUAAAGCUCUUUCAGCUGGGAAGAUAAUGACGGUACCAGCAGAAGAAGCCCCGGUUAACUCCGUGCCAGCAGCCGCGGUAAUACGGAGGGGGCUAGCGUUGUUCGGAAUUACUGGGCGUAAAGCGCGCGUAGGCGGACCAGAAAGUUGGAGGUGAAAUCCCAGGGCUCAACCUUGGAACUGCCUUCAAAACUCCUGGUCUGGAGUUCGAGAGAGGUGAGUGGAAUUCCGAGUGUAGAGGUGAAAUUCGUAGAUAUUCGGAGGAACACCAGUGGCGAAGGCGGCUCACUGGCUCGAUACUGACGCUGAGGUGCGAAAGCGUGGGGAGCAAACAGGAUUAGAAACCCUGGUAGUCC
rnacentral:rRNA from 1 species